GUAUGAUAUGCAAGGCUAACUACAUCUCCCAGCAUUCAUCUGUUGGUUUUCGCCUACUUCCUGAUCCUCUGAAAGUUCGUUCUGCUGAUGGCUUCUCUUUCAUAUCAGGUUGCCAUAUUUGCAUGGGUGCCUUGACCUUAGUUUGUUUGCUUUGCAAAUCAAAUCAGGCCAGUGUUUUAUUUAAAGGCUCAAACAGGCGCUAUGUUCUCCUGAGGCCAUGUUGCAAAGCACAGCCAGUAUAGAGAUAACAGCUCUGAGUCUUCUCCUAUAAUGCCUGAUGAGGUUGGAGAAUACAUGGCAAGGGAUCUGAGACCAUUCCUCCAUACAGAAUCUCUCCAGAGCCUUAAAAUUUUGAGGUCCAUGCUGGUGGCCUCUCCUCUUCAGUUCACCAUACAGGUUUUCUAUGGGUUUCAAUCAGGGGACUGGCAUGGCCAUGGCAGGACCUUGAUUUUGAGGGUAGCCUGGAACCUAUCCCAGAGGACUCAGGGCACGAGGUGGGGGACAUCCUGGACGGGGUGCCAAGCCAUUGCAGGACACAAUUGCACACAUAUGCACACAUUGCAGACAAUUUGGAAAUGCCAAUCAGCUUACAACGCAUGUCUUUGGACUGGGAGAGGAAUCCAGAAUAUCCGGAGGAAUCCCCCCGAAGCACGGGGAAAACAUGCAAACUCCAUGCACACAGGGCGGAGGCAGGAUUCGAAACCCCAACCCCGGAGGUACGAGGCAAGCGUGCUAACCACAAUUCAUGUUACGGCAAAUAUAAACAAUUGUUCCCUCAGCAGCCUGUCUUUCUCUCUCUUCACGUAUAUAACGUUAAUUUAAAAAAUCUUAGUUUGGCAUACUACAGACAAACUGAAAACCUG
ensembl:lncRNA